GCGAGUAUGGCCCUCACGGGUCUAAUCCACCAUAAACACCUUUGUGAACCAGUCAGGGGGACUCGGCCGUGAAAGCCCAGGUGAUUAGCGGAAGGGCCCUCCUUUGCAAACCCGUUUAGAAGUCUUGAAAGUACUUUUGUAUAAUCUAGUA
rnacentral:misc_RNA from 1 species